rnacentral:rRNA from 1 species
GGGUUGUGAGGUUAAGCGACUAAGCGUACACGGUGGAUGCCCUGGCAGUCAGAGGCGAUGAAGGACGUGCUAAUCUGCGAAAAGCGUCGGUAAGGUGAUAUGAACCGUUACAGCCGGCGAUGUCCGAAUGGGGAAACCCAGUGCAAUUCGUUGCACUAUCGUUAACUGAAUACAUAGGUUAACGAGGCGAACCGGGGGAACUGAAACAUCUAAGUACCCCGAGGAAAAGAAAUCAACCGAGAUUCCCCCAGUAGCGGCGAGCGAACGGGGAGCAGCCCAGAGUCUGAAUCAGCUUGUGUGUUAGUGGAACGGUCUGGAAAGUCCGACGGUACAGGGUGAUAGUCCCGUACACCAAAAUGCACAGGUUGUGAACUCGAAGAGUAGGGCGGGACACGUGGUAUCCUGUCUGAAUAUGGGGGGACCAUCCUCCAAGGCUAAAUACUCCUGACUGACCGAUAGUGAACCAGUACCGUGAGGGAAAGGCGAAAAGAACCCCGGCGAGGGGAGUGAAAAAGAACCUGAAACCGUGUACGUACAAGCAGUGGGAGCACCUUCGGGUGUGACUGCGUACCUUUUGUAUAAUGGGUCAGCGACUUAUAUUCUGUAGCAAGGUUAACCGUAUAGGGGAGCCGCAGGGAAACCGAGUCUUAACUGGGCGUUAAGUUGCAGGGUAUAGACCCGAAACCCGGUGAUCUAGCCAUGGGCAGGUUGAAGGUUGGGUAACACUAACUGGAGGACCGAACCGACUAAUGUUGAAAAAUUAGCGGAUGACUUGUGGCUGGGGGUGAAAGGCCAAUCAAACCGGGAGAUAGCUGGUUCUCCCCGAAAGCUAUUUAGGUAGCGCCUCGUGAAUUCAUCUUCGGGGGUAGAGCACUGUUUCGGCUAGGGGGUCAUCCCGACUUACCAACCCGAUGCAAACUACGAAUACCGAAGAAUGUUAUCACGGGAGACACACGGCGGGUGCUAACGUCCGUCGUGAAGAGGGAAACAACCCAGACCGCCAGCUAAGGUCCCAAAGUCAUGGUUAAGUGGGAAACGAUGUGGGAAGGCACAGACAGCCAGGAUGUUGGCUUAGAAGCAGCCAUCAUUUAAAGAAAGCGUAAUAGCUCACUGGUCGAGUCGGCCUGCGCGGAAGAUGUAACGGGGCUAAACCAUGCACCGAAGCUGCGGCAGCGACGCUCAGGCGUUGUUGGGUAGGGGAGCGUUCUGUAAGCCUGCGAAGGUGGCCUGUGAGGGCUGCUGGAGGUAUCAGAAGUGCGAAUGCUGACAUAAGUAACGAUAAAGCGGGUGAAAAGCCCGCUCGCCGGAAGACCAAGGGUUCCUGUCCAACGUUAAUCGGGGCAGGGUGAGUCGACCCCUAAGGCGAGGCCGAAAGGCGUAGUCGAUGGGAAACAGGUUAAUAUUCCUGUACUUGGUGUUACUGCGAAGGGGGGACGGAGAAGGCUAUGUUAGCCGGGCGACGGUUGUCCCGGUUUAAGCAUGUAGGCUGGUUAUCCAGGCAAAUCCGGAUAAUCAAGGCUGAGGUGUGAUGACGAGGCACUACGGUGCUGAAGUAACAAAUGCCCUGCUUCCAGGAAAAGCCUCUAAGCAUCAGGUAACAUCAAAUCGUACCCCAAACCGACACAGGUGGUCAGGUAGAGAAUACCAAGGCGCUUGAGAGAACUCGGGUGAAGGAACUAGGCAAAAUGGUGCCGUAACUUCGGGAGAAGGCACGCUGGUGUGUAGGUGAAGUCCCUGCGGAUGGAGCUGAGACCAGUCGAAGAUACCAGCUGGCUGCAACUGUUUAUUAAAAACACAGCACUGUGCAAACACGAAAGUGGACGUAUACGGUGUGACGCCUGCCCGGUGCCGGAAGGUUAAUUGAUGGGGUUAUCCGUAAGGAGAAGCUCUUGAUCGAAGCCCCGGUAAACGGCGGCCGUAACUAUAACGGUCCUAAGGUAGCGAAAUUCCUUGUCGGGUAAGUUCCGACCUGCACGAAUGGCGUAAUGAUGGCCAGGCUGUCUCCACCCGAGACUCAGUGAAAUUGAACUCGCUGUGAAGAUGCAGUGUACCCGCGGCAAGACGGAAAGACCCCGUGAACCUUUACUAUAGCUUGACACUGAACAUUGAGCCUUGAUGUGUAGGAUAGGUGGGAGGCUUUGAAGCGUGGACGCCAGUCUGCGUGGAGCCAACCUUGAAAUACCACCCUUUAAUGUUUGAUGUUCUAACGUGGGCCCCUAAUCGGGGUUGCGGACAGUGUCUGGUGGGUAGUUUGACUGGGGCGGUCUCCUCCCAAAGCGUAACGGAGGAGCACGAAGGUUAGCUAAUCCUGGUCGGACAUCAGGAGGUUAGUGCAAUGGCAUAAGCUAGCUUGACUGCGAGCGUGACGGCGCGAGCAGGUGCGAAAGCAGGUCAUAGUGAUCCGGUGGUUCUGAAUGGAAGGGCCAUCGCUCAACGGAUAAAAGGUACUCCGGGGAUAACAGGCUGAUACCGCCCAAGAGUUCAUAUCGACGGCGGUGUUUGGCACCUCGAUGUCGGCUCAUCACAUCCUGGGGCUGAAGUAGGUCCCAAGGGUAUGGCUGUUCGCCAUUUAAAGUGGUACGCGAGCUGGGUUUAGAACGUCGUGAGACAGUUCGGUCCCUAUCUGCCGUGGGCGCUGGAGAAUUGAGGGGGGCUGCUCCUAGUACGAGAGGACCGGAGUGGACGCAUCACUGGUGUUCGGGUUGUCAUGCCAAUGGCACUGCCCGGUAGCUAAAUGCGGAAGAGAUAAGUGCUGAAAGCAUCUAAGCACGAAACUUGCCCCGAGAUGAGUUCUCCCUGAGACUUUAAGUCUCCUGAAGGAACGUUGAAGACGACGACGUUGAUAGGCCGGGUGUGUAAGCGCAGCGAUGCGUUGAGCUAACCGGUACUAAUGAACCGUGAGGCUUAACCUUACAACGCCGAAG